rnacentral:misc_RNA from 1 species
GAAUUUUGCAUCAUUUUUUCCGCUUUCAUCUUCAGCAGCAGCAGAAACAACCAUGUCAUUGAACGUGGGUAGUUCUCAAGGUUUUACAGACUACUUUCAAGUUAACAAGGAAAAUGGGUUCUUGGGCUUGAUCCAGGAGAUGGAAGAUCAUCAACAUCAUCAUCAUCAUCCUGUGAUGGGUGGUUUCAAUGGUAACAAUAGCAACAAUUAUAUCAACUUGUCUUCUCAGAAUAAAAGCUUUGGUGGGUCUGAAAAUGAAGAGAAAUUAUUGGGGAAGAAGAAGGGAUCGGAGAAGAAAAUAAGAAAGCCUAGAUAUGCCUUUCAAACAAGGAGCAGAGUU